rnacentral:misc_RNA from 1 species
UAUAGAUAAAGUACCAAAAGUAACAUCUCCUGUUUUGGUAAUUCAUGGAACUGAAGAUGAUGUAAUAAAUUUCAAUCAUGGUUUAGCAAUUUAUGAGAGAUGUCCAAGAGCAGUAGAACCAUUAUGGGUUGAGGGUGCUGGUCAUAAUGAUGUAGAAUUAUAUGAUCAAUAUUUAGAACGAUUGAAGCAAUUUGUAAGUGUAGAACUGAUAAACUGACGGCGACUAAGCCUCUCCCAGAAUCAGGGGGGGCAGGGAGGAGGACAUACACAUGUAAGCAGUCAAGGACACACCACUUCUAAUAAUUCAAACACUACCAGUUCUAUUUCAACAAGCUCACAGACUGAAAAGCUUGUCUAGCAAUCGCCUUCCACAGGGGAGAAGGCACCUGUCCUCCCCUGUGAUGAAGAAUCAUCUUUCGUUUCUAUAGAUGAUGGAUUUUUCUUUCGUGAUCAACAGAUGGAUAUUAAUCAGAAAAUUCAUCAUAAAAAUUCUUUAAAGGAAACAUGUUCUGAGGAUGAUGACUCAAGUUUAGAUAGUAAUUCAAAAAAAGCUAUUCAACAAGAUGACAAAAAUAUGAAAGAAGAAGAAUUGAUAACAAAUAUUCAAGAUAAGAAACAUAAUAAAACAAUAUUAGAAGGUACUUCUAUUCGCCAUAACUUUCGAUUAAAUCAUAUUAGUCAAGUUGCAAAAAAACAUAUUUCUUUGCCAAAAAAUAUAAAAAACCCAUUUACUAAAAGUCAAAAGAAUAUUGUCCAUAGAACUUUAAAAAAUUCAUUUGGUCAAAGCCAUAAGAAAGCUGAUAUACAAAUAUCCCAUACAACUUUAGUUGACAUACAGGUUGAAGACUGCCGACAAUAUACUAUUGAAGAAAAGUCAUUGUCAUCAUAUUCCAAUAUAUCUAAUGAUAAUAAUAAAAGUAUUUCAGAUUGUAAAAAUAGUCAAAGUCAGUUCAAAUCAGAGAAAAAAUCUCCUAUAAAUCAGUUCAAAUAUAGCAGUAUAGAAUCUGUGUUGGAUUCAGAAUGUACUAAAAAUAAUAAGAAAUAUUGCAGUAAUAAAAUUCUAAAUAAAGAUACAACUAUAAAAGAUAAGAAGUCUGAAGAACAUGAUACACAGAUCCAUCAUGAAAAAUCAAUAGAAUCUUCAAAAAAGUUUUCAUGGGGUAAUAAGAGCAGUAAAUUUGCAAGUAAGAGUUUUGAAAAAACAUGUAAGGAUAAAGGAAAAAAUGAUUCUAUAGAGAAAAAAUUGAAAGCUAAAAAAAUUCUUUGCAGUCCUUUAAGAAAAUUUGGUCGAUCAUCUUUGACAAUCGAACCGGAUAAAAUUAUGAUAAAUUUACCAAAGUGUUCUCCUUGCGCUUGUAGAUUGGCUGCAAGUUCAAAAAUUUUAUCCAAUGAUUCCAGUUUAUUGUCCCGAUUUACUAUAAAUCGUGAAAGUCCUCAUCACGCUGUACGUUCGAAGAGUCCGUCGCAUAUAGACGUACAAACGGAUAUUAGUUCAAAGUCUUCAGAAAGGACAUCAAUGCAGACUAAUUUAUUUUCAAAUAUACAACAAUUUAAAAAAUCACGAUAUACGCCUCGAAGCAGAAGCGUCGGUGAGUUGUGCAACAUUGUCAACAAAUGAAGCAGUCUUGAGUUAUUCAUCUAGUAGAAUUUCUGGACAAAACUGGACUUCCAACAUCGUCAGUUGAAUGCUCAGGAAAUGUUUAUUCAAAAAUUAAAAAGAAAACUAUAUAUAGAACAUUCUGAUAAAAUUUAACAAAGCAACUUUAGAGGCAAAGUGUUAACUAAAUAACAUGAAUCCCACAAGUUGUCGCUCCAUUAUUCUUCCACAUAACUUUAAAGAAAUCAUAGAUUUAUACGCACGACACUUAUUCGGGCUGUAACAGUGCUAGUGAGACUGUGCACAUAAAUACACAUAUAAUACAUACAUAAAAUUUAUUAUAUUUCUAGAGAUAUGAAAUAAUAUAUCUGUGCAUAUUAAAUAUUCUUAUUACACAUGCGCACACAUACUGGUGCAUGCGUGUGUAUGUUGUAAGCCGUUUUUAUAGCAUAUGCUGUGGAACGUUGUUACGACAAAUAUGUCGAGUAUUAUUAUUAUUAUUUUUACUAUUAUCUUCCUUAAGAUUAGGGAGUCGAAUGGCUUACAUUGAAAUACUUUCUGCUACCACGAAUGAUACUAUACUUGCCUGUAGCAAGUAUAUGGUAUGAGAAUUCUUCGCUGAACCUAUUUCUUAAUUUAAAAAUUUCAAUAUAAUUUUAUAUUAUCAUUGAUUAAUUAAGAAUUUGUUCAUCAUCAUUCAUUAUUUCAUUAUGCAUUUAAACUUAUUUUUCUAAAAUUUUUCUGAAAAAGAAUAAGCAGCAAUUAGUAGAUUUAUUAGUGAAUAUGAGAUGUAUAUUUGGCAUUUCAGUGUUUCCUUUUAUGACUCAAUUUUAUAAAUUAGGUUCAGCGGUGAAACAAAUGUAAUGUGAAAUCGCAUGUUUUUAUAAAUAAAUCGCUGUCACUGUGACCAGUGUAUAUGAUAGCUGUAUCGAUAACGAAAACAUUUGUUUUUAUAUUGACCCACAGCAGAGGCCUGUGCAGUGAGCAAUGGAAAUCUUCCAAGAUAGCAAAGAAUUUAGAAUAGAGAUUAAAAAUUAAUGGAUAGCGUUAAGAAAUCGUGUAAGUGUGAGACGUCAUAAAAGACGUUACGUUUUACUGAAAAUGAAUGAGAUGAUGAGAUAACAAUAAGAAUGCAACUAGAUAGGGACAAUAUUACUGCCAAACUUGAUUAUGAAUUAGUUUAUUUCUAAAGAGAUGAAUCGUUUGGAGGAUCUUGUCUAUAGUGUAUGUAUAAUGUAUGCGACAACGUGACUGUACGGAGCCAAUGGAAUGAAUCGGCGCUAGUACAUGUAUGUAUUUCUGUAGAAAUUUUUUUUUUAAUUUUGAGUUUUCUUGAAAAUUUUUACCCGUCCCUGUUAUCUUUUAAAUAAUAAAUUACUACGAAUGUUUUCAAAUUAUGAGUAUAAAUUGAAAUUAAAUAUAUGUGUAAUUGUAAUGGUAUGAAUGAAUGGAAAGUGAAUAUAAAAUUGUUAAAAUUUAAUUAAAACAAAAAAAAAUUAAUGAAUUACUAUUGCAAAAUAAUUAAGAAUAAUGUAUAAUUUUCGUUAUUUUAUCUAUAAGUUUGAUAUUCUUAAUUGUUGUUAUCUAUAUUAUUAUCUUCAAAUAUUACUUUUGUUACUUAUUUUGCAUUGUUAUUUUAUUAAUUAUUAUCUAAUUAUCAAUCUUUAUAUUCACUUUCCUUUAAUAUUAAUCUCUUAGAAUAUAUUAUGAUGCAUUAUAGUAUCGAGAUAGAGAGUCCGAUACUACUCUUCCAUUGGCUUUCACGUAGCCGCUAUUAAAUUGAUCUGUAUCGAUCGCAAUUCUAAUAUCUAUUUCGUAACUUGUGAAAAAAAAAAAAUUUAUACUGUUGUUUGACAAAUAUCCAGUUUUAUAGACGGCGAAUAUUUCAAAGAGCGAAUUUUAUAGUAAACUUAGUAAAAACAACAUAUACAUAUAUAGAAUAACAAAAUGAUCAUCGGUGCUCGACGAAAAAUAGAUUUGGUCGUAUAUAAAACUGGAUAAAAAAUAACUUUUGUACAGCAUAUUUCGAACGCAUACGUGUCCCCUCUUUCUUCUACUUUCAUUCUCGUUUUCCAUCGUGUGUUUCUCUCUUUCUCUCUUUCUCUCGCUCAUUUCUUUUACUAUUUUUUAUUGUCCUACUCUGUCUCUCAAUACGCGUCAAGCAAUCGACCGGUUUUGAACAGCACUUUCGUCUUUCAUAAUUGCAUCGUGCUGGUAGAAUGGUACUCAAUGGUCUUUUUUUUUUUUCUUUGGGUAUCACGCGAAUCACGGUGCGGUAUUCAUAACUGUACAUAUUAGCGUGUAAGUGAAAUAUUAGAAAUAAUAUACUCGAUGUUCUGUUCGGUCGUAUCUAAUGUACUUACGGGAGAAGAUAGGUUAAAGAGAUGGGAGGGAGGAGAUAACAAUGAUAGAGAUUACAAGAUCCCUUGAAUCGAUCGUUAGUCAUAUGUCAUAUGUAUCACAAAAUGUAGUCACAAAG